rnacentral:rRNA from 1 species
CCUACGGGAGGCAGCAGUGAGGAAUAUUGGUCAAUGGGCGGAAGCCUGAACCAGCCAAGUCGCGUGAGGGAAUAAGGCCCUACGGGUCGUAAACCUCUCUUGCCGGGGAGCAAGGGCCGGGACGCGUCCCGGCCCGGAGAGUACCCGGAGAAAAAGCAUCGGCUAACUCCGUGCCAGCAGCCGCGGUAAUACGGAGGAUGCGAGCGUUAUCCGGAUUUAUUGGGUUUAAAGGGUGCGUAGGCGGAUUGAUAAGUUAGAGGUGAAAUGUCCGAGCUUAACUCGGGAACUGCCUCUAAUACUGUUGU